UGGAAAUAGUGAAAAAUAAGGAAAUGACAUGUUUUGAACCCAGCAGGAGCUCAACAAGUCAUUGGGGAAGAACAGAGAAACCAAAAAAAAAGAAAAAGAAGAAGAAAAGACAGAAAGAGGGAAAGAAGAAAGCCAGAGAGAGGGAGAGAAUGAACAUUGUGAGCUGGAGAUUGUUAGUGGCCAUUGAUGGGAAGGGCCGUUUUAGAAGCAAGAAGGUUCUUUGUGAAAGCUUAAAGGCAAAGGAGCAGGUCGGCCCUUAGAAACAAAAGCAUGAGCUUCCCAGAAAAUUCAGAGUCCGCUCCUUGUGCUCCCGGGGCAGGCUCACCCUAACCGGUUUGUAUGUCU
rnacentral:lncRNA from 1 species